GCCAGUGUGGCACUGUGGUUUAGGUGUUGGACUACGACUCUAGAGACCAGGGUUCAAUUCCCAGUUCAGCCA